rnacentral:rRNA from 1 species
CCUACGGGUGGCAGCAGUGAGGAAUAUUGGUCAAUGGGCGCGAGCCUGAACCAGCCAAGUCGCGUGAGGGAUGACGGUCCUACGGAUUGUAAACCUCUUUUGCCGGGGAGCAAGCGUGCGUUCGUGAACGCGCGUCGAGAGUACCCGGAGAAAAAGCAUCGGCUAACUCCGUGCCAGCAGCCGCGGUAAUACGGAGGAUGCGAGCGUUAUCCGGAUUUAUUGGGUUUAAAGGGAGCGUAGAUGGGUUGUUAAGUCAGUUGUGAAAGUUUGCGGCUCAACCGUAAAAUUGCAAUUGAUACUGGCAGUCUUGAGUACAGUUGAGGUAGGCGGAAUUCGUGGUGUAGCGGUGAAAUGCUUAGAUAUCACGAAGAACUCCGAUUGCGAAGGCAGCUUACUAAACUGCCACUGACAUUGAUGCUCGAAAGUGUGGGUAUCAAACAGGAUUAGAUACCCCAGUAGUC